GCCCGCUUGGCUUAGUGGUACAGCGUCGCACUCGUAAUGCGAAGAUCCGCGGUUCGAUUCCGCGAGUGGGCA
rnacentral:tRNA from 3 species